rnacentral:snRNA from 14 species
GUGGCUGUACCAACUUACAUCCCUACCACAUGUUGUAAAAUUGUAAUUUUACAGAGAAGAUUAGCAUUGUCCCUGCACA